rnacentral:rRNA from 1 species
AGGGAAAGGUGAAAAGCACCCCGGGAGGGGAGUGAAACAGUACCUGAAACCGUGCGCCCACGAGCAGUCGGAGCAACUUUCAGUUGUGACGGCGUGCCUUUUGUAGAAUGAGCCAGCGAGUCGCUGGCGCGGGGCGAGGUUAACCGAAAGGGAGCCGGAGCGAAAGCGAGCCUUAACAGGGCGACUUGAGUCCCGCGCCGCGGACGCGAAGCCGGGUGAGCUAUCCGUGGGCAGGCUGAAGCGGGGGUAAGACCCCGUGGAGGGCCGAACGCACGUCGGUUGAAAACGGCGGCGAUGACCUGCGGAUAGGGGUGAAAGGCCAAUCAAACCCGGAGAUAUCUCGUUCUCCCCGAAAUAGCUUUAGGGCUAGCGUCGCGCGUUCACCGCCGGAGGUAGAGCACCGGAUGGACGAGGGGGCUUCGCCGCCUACCGAAUCCAACCGAACUCCGAAUGCCGGCGGCCCAGAGCGCGGCAGUCAGAGCAUGUGGGCUAAGCUGUGUGCUCGAGAGGGAAACAGCCCGGACCGCCCGCUAAGGUCCCCAAGUUCCAGCCGAGUGGCAAAGGAUGUGCGUCCGCCCAGACAACCAGGAUGUUGGCUUAGAAGCAGCCAUCCAUUCAAAGAGUGCGUAACAGCUCACUGGUCGAGUGGACAUGCGCCGACAAUACACGGGGCUAAGCUGGACACCGAAGCGGCGGGAUUUUGAUUUUCAGAAUCGGUAGGGGAGCUUCCCAUGGGCGGAGAAGCCGGAGGGCGACCGACGGUGGAGCGCAUGGGAGUGAGAAUGCUGGCAUGAGUAGCGAGAGACGAGAGAGUAACUCGUCCGCCGUGAACCCGAGGUUUCCUGGGCAAGGCUAAUCCUCCCAGGGUCAGUCGGGGGCUAAGGCGAGGCCGGGAGGCGUAGCCGACGCGCAGCAGGCAGACAUUCCUGCACCGCGCACGCGGCGCUACGACCGACGGGGCGACGGAUGGGGGUGGCUCGGCGGGGUUCUGGACGUCCCCGUGAUGGAGCGCGGCCCGCGGACCAGGGAAAUCCGGUCCGCAUUGAGGGCGAGGCUCCGGACGAAGCGACUGAGCGAAGCGAGUGAGCCCGAGGUCCCUAGAAAAACCCCUAGGCAGGCGCGUGCGCGCCCGUACCGCAAACCGACACAGGUGGGUGGGUAGAACAUACCGAGGCGAUCGGGUCAACCAUGGUCAAGGAACUCGGCACAAUGGCCCCGUAACUUCGGGAGAAGGGGUGCCCGCGCGUACGUGAACCGGCUUGCCCGGGGAGCGGAGGCGGGCCGCAGUGGAGAGGCCCAAGCGACUGUUUACCAAAAACACAGGACUCUGCAGAAGCCGCAAGGCGACGUAUAGGGUCUGACGCCUGCCCGGUGCCGGAAGGUCACGCGGAGGAGUUAGCGCAUCGCGCGAAGCCCCGAAGCCAAGCCCCGGUAAACGGCGGCCGUAACUAUAACGGUCCUAAGGUAGCGAAAUUCCUUGUCGGGUAAGUUCCGACCUGCACGAAAGGCGCAACGACUUGGGCGCUGUCUCGACCAUGGACCCGGUGAAAUUGCACUGGUCGUGAAGAUGCGACUUACCCGCGGAAGGACGGAAAGACCCCGUGAACCUUCACUGCAGCUUGGCAUUGGCCGCUGGUCCCGCGUGUAGAGGAUAGGCAGGAGGCACAGAUCCGGAGGCGCCAGCCCCCGGGGAGCCGCCCUUGGAAUACUGCCCUCGCGCGACCGGCGUCCUAACCCGAGGCCGUCAACCGGCUCGGGGACCGUGCCAGGCGGGCAGUUUGACUGGGGCGGUCGCCUCCUAAAGGGUAACGGAGGCGCGCGAAGGUCCGCUCGGGACGGUCGGCAACCGUCCUUUUGAAUGCAAGAGUACAAGCGGGCUUGACUGCGAGGCCAACAAGCCGAGCAGGUGCGAAAGCAGGCUCUAGUGAUCCGGCGGCCCCGAGUGGGUGGGCCGUCGCUCAACGGAUAAAAGGUACUCCGGGGAUAACAGGCUGAUACCGCCCAAGAGUUCAUAUCGACGGCGGUGUUUGGCACCUCGAUGUCGGCUCAUCGCAUCCUGGGGCUGGAGCAGGUCCCAAGGGUACGGCUGUUCGCCGUUUAAAGCGGU